AACCUGCCCUUCAGAGGGGGACAACAGUUGGAAACGACUGCUAAUACCGCAUACGAUCUAAACUCGGCAUCGAGGAUGGAUGAAAGGUGGCCUCUAUUUAUAAGCUAUCACUGAAGGAGGGGAUUGCGUCUGAUUAGCUAGUUGGAGGGGUAACGGCCCACCAAGGCAAUGAUCAGUAGCCGGUCUGAGAGGAUGAACGGCCACAUUGGGACUGAGACACGGCCCAGACUCCUACGGGAGGCAGCAUG
rnacentral:rRNA from 1 species